GGCGCCGGCCGGUUCACAGCCCGGCAUGCAGCUGCGGGCCCUCGCGCCCGCGUGAGGGUGUCGGGCCCGGGUCCCGCCAUGGCCGGGAAGGACUGUGGCAACCUGAAGACGGCGAGGCUGUGGCGGGACGCCGCCCUGCGCGCCAGGAAGCUGCGGAGCAACCUGCGCCAGCUCACCCUCACCGUGGCCGGGGGCUGCCCGGGAGCCGGAGCCGCAGCAGCCGAUCAGCUCGACUCGCCCGACGCUCCCCAGCUCGUGCUGCCGGCCAACAUCGGGGACAUUGAGGUGCUGAACCUGGGGAACAACGGGCUGGAGGAGGUGCCUGACGGGUUGGGGUUGGCUCUGGGCAGCUUGCGCGUUCUGGUCCUGCGCCGGAACCGUUUCGUCCGGCUGCCCCCGGCGGUGGCCGAGCUGGGCCACCACCUCACCGAGCUGGACGUGAGCCACAACCGGCUGACCACCCUGGGCGCCGAGGUGGUGAGCGCCCUGAGGGAGCUGCGCAAGCUCAACCUGAGCCACAAUCAGCUGCCCGCCCUGCCUGCCCCGCUGGGCGCCCUGGUCCACCUGGAGGAGCUAGAUGUCAGCUUCAACCGGCUGGCGCACCUGCCGGACUCCUUCUCCUGCCUCUACCGCCUGCGCACCCUCGACGUGGACCACAAUCAGCUCACUGCCUUCCCCCCGCAGCUGCUGCAGCUGGCCGCCCUGGAGGAGCUGGACGUGUCCAGCAACCGACUGCGAGGCCUACCUGAGGAUAUCAGUAACCUGCAUGGCCUCAAGAUCCUCUGGCUGAGUGGAGCCGAGCUUGGCACCUUGCCCAACGGCUUUUGCGAGCUGGCCAGUUUGGAAAGCCUCAUGUUAGACAACAACGGGCUGCAGGCUCUGCCAGCCCAGUUCAGCCGCCUGCAAAGACUCAAAAUGCUCAACCUCUCGUCCAACCUCUUUGAAGAGUUCCCUGCCGCGCUGCUGCCCCUGGCUGGUCUGGAGGAGCUCUACCUUAGUCGCAACCAGCUCACCUCAGUGCCAUCCCUUAUCUCCGGGCUGAGCCGGCUUCUCACCUUGUGGCUGGAUAAUAACCGCAUCCGUUACCUGCCGGACUCCAUUGUGGAGCUGACCGGCUUGGAGGAGCUGGUGUUGCAAGGGAACCAGAUCGCUGUGCUGCCUGAUAACUUUGGCCAGCUCUCCCGAGUGGGCUUGUGGAAGAUUAAGGACAAUCCACUGAUCCAGCCCCCCUACGAGGUCUGCAUGAAGGGGAUCCCCUACAUUGCAGCCUACCAGAAGGAGCUGGCUCAUUCCCAGCCAGCCGUGCAGCCUCGCCUCAAGCUGCUCCUGAUGGGCCAGAAGGCCGCAGGAAAGACCUUGCUCCGACACUGUCUCACAGAGGAGAGAAUGGAGGGCAGCCAGGGAGGAGGGGACAAGGAGAAGAGCUACCCACCUUCUCCUCCCCCUGGGAACAAGGGCAUCGAGGUGACCAGCUGGACAGCAGAUGCCUCCCGGGGCCUGCGGUUCAUCGUGUAUGACCUAGCUGGGGAUGAAAGCUAUGAGGUGAUCCAGCCCUUCUUCCUUUCCCCAGGGGCCCUGAAUGUGCUGGUGGUCAAUUUGGCCACGUACGAGCCACGCUGCUUUCCCACCACGGUGGGCUCCUUCUUGCAUCGGGUAGGGGCCAGGGUGCCUCAUGCGGUGGUGUGCAUAGUGGGCACACACGCUGACCUGUGCGGAGAGCGGGAGCUGGAGGAGAAGUGCUUGGAUAUUCACCGUCAGAUUGCCCUGCAGGAGAAGCAUAAUGCCGAAGGCCUCAGUCGGCUGGCCCAAGUGGUGGAUGAGGCCCUGGCGCGGGACUUCGAGCUGCGCUCUGCCAGCCCCCAUGCUGCCUAUUACGGGGUUUCGGACAAGAACCUGAGGCGGCGUAAGGCUCACUUCCAAUACUUGCUCAACCACCGGCUGCAGAUCCUCUCUCCAGUGUUGCCUGUGAGCUGUAGGGAUCCCCGUCAAUUGCAACGUCUUCGGGAUAAGCUGCUGUCCGUGGCUGAGCACCGAGAAAUCUUCCCGAACUUACACAGGGUCCUGCCUCGAUCCUGGCAGGUGCUGGAAGAGUUGCAUUUCCAGCCCCCUCAGGCGCAGCGCCUGUGGCUGAGCUGGUGGGACUCAGCGCGCCUGGGACUGCAGGCAGGGCUGACGGAGGACCGACUGCAGAGUGCCCUUUCCUACCUGCAUGAGAGCGGCAAGCUGCUCUACUUUGAAGAUAGCCCUGCCCUCAAAGAGCACGUCUUCCACAACCUCACCCGCCUCAUCGACAUCCUCAAUGUCUUCUUUCAGAGGGAUGCUUCCUUGUUGCUGCAUAAACUGCUCCUGGGGACCAGUGGAGAAGGUGAAGGUGAUGGAGAAAGCUCCCCUGUGAUGACUCUACCCACUGUGAGCCAGGAUCUGCUCCGGGCCACUCAACUCCAUCAUUAUGUGGAAGGCUUUCUGUUGCAUGGGCUCCUACCAGCCCAUGUCAUUCGAUUGCUGCUUAAGCCUCAUGUCCAGGCCCAACAGGACUUGCAGCUGCUACUGGGUCUGCUGGAGAAGAUGGGACUCUGUUAUUGCCUCAACAAGCCGAAGGGCAAGCCUUUGAAUGGAUCCACAGCUUGGUACAAAUUCCCGUGCUAUGUGCAGAAUGAAGUACCUCACGCAGAGGCCUGGAUUAAUGGGACCAACCUAGCUGGGCAGUCUUUUGUGGCUGAGCAAUUGCAGAUUGAAUAUAGUUUUCCCUUUACCUUUCCACCUGGGUUGUUUGCCCGCUACAGUGUCCAGAUCAACAGCCAUGUGGUACACAGAUCCGAUGGGAAGUUUCAGAUCUUUGCAUAUAGAGGGAAAGUUCCGGUGGUGGUGAGUUACAGACCUGCCAAGGGGGUUCUACAACCAGACACCCUCUCCAUUGCCAGCCAUGCAUCAUUACCAAAUAUAUGGACCGCCUGGCAAGCCAUCACCCCUUUGGUAGAGGAACUGAAUGUUCUACUUCAGGAAUGGCCUGGACUGCACUACACCGUGCACAUUCUCUGUUCUAAGUGCCUUAAGAGAGGGUCGCCCAAUCCACAUGCUUUUCCAGGGGAGCUGCUGAGUCAGCCCAGGCCGGAAGGAGUGGCAGAGAUCAUCUGCCCCAAGAAUGGCAGCGAGAGAGUGAAUGUGGCCCUGGUUUACCCACCUACGCCGACUGUGAUCAGCCCCUGUUCCAAGUAUCUUCAUACUUUCUUGGAAAAUUAAGUGGAAAUGAUAGUGCAUCUUUCCCUAAUGCCAACAUUUUUACUGUACCCACUCUGUGACUUUAGGAGCACCAGUUUUAAGGGAAGAACGUUGGUGAAAAGCACAGAAACCAGUGACUUUCGUGGCUGUGGAAUUUCCAUGGAGAAAAUAGAGAGUGGAACUCACAUGGAUCAUCUUCUGUACCUGCGAGCCCUCCCCUCUCCCAGGCACUUUCUGUGACCAGGAGUGAAGCUGUGUUCCAGGUGCUUUCAGAGGGUCAUUGGAGAGGUGCGGAGGGGCGGGGAAGGGGGCAAGAACAUGGAGCAUAUGUUUCACAACCUGAACCUCAGAACUGUGAUCCUCCAAGUAGAAUGCUACUUGAAGAAAAGAAAAAAAAAUGUCUAAUGGCUUCUCAGGGAUUUUGUUUUCUGUGCACAUUUAAGCCAUAGUGACAGUACAGGUGGCAGUAUUUUGAGCACUCGGGUUUCAGUUCUGUUCAAUGUGAAAAGAUGGAUCGAUCGACUGACGUUCAUUGCUGUUCCGUCACUAGUGUAAGAUAUGUAUAUGUUUAUCUUUAUUUUUAUAAUAUGCAAAUACAUUAAAAUUUAUACAGUUUGAAGCUUCUAGCAUUAGUUGACACUGGGUGCAAUAUUUUGCAUGAGAACUGUGCCAAGAUGAGGCUGAUUUCUUAUUUUAGUAUAGGACAUUUUUUUGUUCUUUAUUCUUUACUCCACCUUCUCAGAUUAAAAUGGAGAGGUUAAAAAAAGAUAUAGAUUAGCUCUUGGGUUUUGCAUUGAUUCAAAGAAAUUGCCAGUAAUUAGCAAGAUCUUGCAACAAGCAUUUCAUAAAUGCCUGGCAGUUAUCUUGCAAGGUGGAGCGAUUAUGUCUCCUCACUUCCCACAUUAGCACUGGGGCAGCCUCUUGCAGGGGGCCCAAGGAGACAAAUAAUCCAUGGAAAACUUGAGUCUUUCAAUAGCUCAAGAUGAUCAGGAGUCAAUUCUAAUCAUGUGAAGAGUUCUGCUAUUAAGUACCUUUUUUUUUUUCUAGAACAGGGUUCAAUAAUUAGCAGUAUGCUUUGCCAGUCCCUCAAUAUCUGGCUGAGAACAUCCUCCUCAAUGGAGAACACAGUCCCACUUAUUUAUUCAUACAGAGCCUCUUGUUGGACAUCUACUGCCAAGAAGUAGUAAAAGCCUUGUUUUGGAAUCUACAGGAGGUAAAACUUUAGCAAACUCAACAAAUUACUCUGUCUCCUAAUUGGGGCCAAACAGCAUAUGCUGCUGCAGUAGGAACACAUUCUUUAAGGAAUGUAAAGGACUCUGUUUACAUCUGCCUCCUCCAUGUGUGGAUAGAAAAUGUGUAAAACUGUUUUUCACUAGUGUCAGACAAGAAAGUGAGUCAGCUGGUAUUACUCGUUCACUUCCUUUACAAAGUAUUGACUGUUGGAACGCCAUAGAGCACAAAGUCUCCACAUAUUUAAAACUUAAGAGUGAACACACAACUGCAUCUAAGCAUUUGCAAAUCAAUUUGUGUAGGGACAGACAGUUAAUUUCCUUGACUUUAGAACCUGAUCAUAAAGUCAAGUAGCCUAUUUGUAGAUUUAAAAAAAAUUGACUAUGACACUUCAUGUGUAAAAUUUCAUUUUCCUUUAGAACAUAGUCACAAGAUGAAUUUAGUUAACCCUUUUGUCACAGUUCUCGUGUGUGUGUUUGUGUGUGUGUGUGUGUGUGUGUGUACUGAAUGGUAACAUUUAAUUGCUUUAUGGACCAUUGGCAGUUAGAAUUUUUUAAUUGGCACCACACAGUUCUUCAGCUGUUAAAUCAAUCAACUUUGUCCGGUCUUUGCAAAAGACUUCCAAACAUAUGACUUUGGGCUCACUCCCCAGAAAUUCUAUCAAGUAAAAGUAAUGUCACUGGGGCUGUACCCUUGCAAAAUAUUUGCUAUCUUAAUGAACCCAUAUGCCCAUGUUCUUAAAAUCUACUACUUAUUUUUUUUUUGACAAGUGACGUUUUGUGCUAUUAUCCGAACCCUAGAGAAGCAGUGUAUGAGGAAACCUAGUGUGUUGUGACCAAAGGGUUGUCAUGGUAGAGGGUCAUAUGACCACAAGAAGCUCCAGAAAAGCAUGAGAACUUGCUUCAGCAUGGGGUGGGGAGAGGUUGAAGAUACAGAAAACACUGCUCUACAGGAAUUUUUGCCAUCUAUAUAGGAAAUUCCAUUUUCUCUCUCAACACCUGGAAAGACUCAGCCACCAGCCAAGGCUGACAGACCAUUCACUAAGCACAAGAGGAAUUUGUUCAACCCAGUGAGUCCUUUGCCUCUCAAACAAAUGCCCUCCAAGUUUGUUAUGGUUUCUAUUCCUGCAAAACCACUUCCUGGAAUUGUAAAAGCGCUGCCAGAAUAAAUGUUUUCCCCCUUCUAAGAAAAAACAACUCUGCUCCUAUUGACAUUUGUGUAUUGGACUCUUCUGUCUGAAUAAAGAGGAAAAGGUUUGCUGUGAUUCCGGAUGAAAUGUGUUCUUCAUGCCACAGUCUGUGAAUUGUAAUUGCGAUUUCUCACUGCAUUGUCUUAAUAGGGCAGAAAUUUAAAAAAAAAUGUCAAUAAAAGUACAAAGAAAUGGUUUA